rnacentral:lncRNA from 1 species
GCAGUUAGAAGCAGAUCAGAAAUCGAACACGUUUGCUUUUGCGAUUCGAGAGCCCUUUCUGGCGCGGAGCUAGGGGCGGUGUUACGUAGCUGCCCUGAACUGAGAGCAGCGUUGGCCGGGGGCUAGGGAGCCGGGCUGUUCCACGCUCACUGUGCGCCUCGGGCGGCGGGGCUCGGGCUCUGUCCGAGGUGCUGAACUCCGGGGCUCCGGCCGCGCCGGCAGAGUGUGCCAGCGUCCAUUAUUGCCAGUGUCUGUGGGCAUCUUCCAGAAGGCCGAGCAUGGGGGUCAGGUGAAACCAGGGCGGUAAGUGCUUCUCCCAUCAUUUCUCAGAAAUGCUUAGGUGCCUACUUUUUACAAUUUCGUGCACAUUUUCAGGAUCAUAACCUCUCACCGCCAGUUCCUCACAGGUUUCUGCAAAAACUGACGACCUUUCUUCCCCUUCAGUCCCUGCAAAAAUCCAGACACCUAUCACCCAGCCCCGCUCCGCAACCAUUUCCUACAAGAAUCCAGGCCCCUACGCAUCUCAUCCCCACGCGUCAAUGCAAAAAUAAAAAAUGUUAAAUCCGCCUUCCAUUCCCGUCUCCCACAAUUUCCUGUGAUAAAAGCAAGCUGUCUCCUACCAGUUCCCCACUCCUGCCUGUGGCUAAACAGCAUGGACCGACUUCUCGGGAGCUCGAGGUCCCCACCCGGGUGACCAAUGCAGACCCCUGGGGGUGCGCUUACCUGGUGGGGACAAUCGCCGAGCGAGGCCACCUGGGUCCAGGCUAUAGGUAGUGUCAUUAUUAUUCCCAAAACAAAAUCAGGGGGCGUCCAGCACCCCUACCUGCAGCUGCGGGUUGGCUGCCAGAGGGCACUGCCAGACUGAACCAGCGCCGGGAGCUGGGGCUACCCCGGGCCCCGCGGGUCCUGUUGAGUCACUUGCCCAGAACUUCUUCAAGGUUCGUGAAUAAAACCUCUGCGUCAGUUCCUUCAAAUCGGUCCACCGCUCCUCCAAGUUGCGGUGGGAGCAGGGGAGUUUUGGGUUUGGUUUGGUUUGGUUUGGUUUUAAGAAAAA